CAUUCACUAGUGUGUGUGUGUAUAUAUAAGAAAAGUCGAGCUCGCCAAUUUCCUUAACCCUAGCCAAACUCGAGUAAUCUCUCAAUCGUUCUCUGCAAACGAAGCACAUGAACUCCCGACCCCAAGCUCCCAGAAUUCGGCGAUUGGAACCGCCGACCCGGAGCCAGUGAUCGCCCAUCUGUGGGCACUGGCCGAGCUCUCAGAAUCCGUCGAUUGGUAUAAUCGAGGCCAACCGAAGCAACGAGAGAAGCGUAAAGAACCACUCCAUCUUCAAAAACUAGGAAUCCUCAAACUUGUGAGGAGGAUACAACCCCAGCUUCUUCAAAGGGGAGAAUUCCAAUCUGUCCAGAGGAUGCAACUCCAGCUUCUUCAGAUGAGAGAAUUCCAAUCUGUCCAGAGGAUGCAACUCCAGCUUCUUCAGAUGAGAGAAUUCCAAUCUGUCCAGAGGAUACAACUUCAACCUGGCCAAUUUGCAUUCAUGGUCGCCACUGUUUGUCAUUCUGCCCCUACUUGUGUCGUGUCUCAGAUGACAUAACUAAGGUUGGCGAGGGCUAUGUAAUAUGUUGUCAGCUUUGUGGUAUGUACAAUAACAAGUGUGGACAUAAUAUGGCGUAUGCUACCCUUAUUUUUUGUUUUGUUUGUCGCAGCAGGAAACACUUUAGUCAAGACAGCAUUUGAAGCAACGCAAGAUGCAUUUGAAAUCUUGGUGAUUGUUUCUUUUAUUGAUCCAUACUCUAGCGGACCAUUUAGAGUCCAUAGCAUGAGCAAUGACGAAGAAAAAUUAACGUAGUAAAAACAACAUUUUUGGAGUCUUAUGGGAGACAUUAUGAUUGUAUGGAACAAUGUAUUAAAAGCGUGAGGCGUGGGCGAGCCGUCCGAGGGAUAGCCUGGCCUAGGCGUGAGGCGAAGCCUUAUGAGACCUUAAAUAAUAGGGGAUAGGUGAGAAAAACAGAGGAAACAGGGACGCUUGGGGUUUUAAAAAUAAAAGAAAAAUAGACUUGGCCAAAACGACGUUAUUUUGGGCCAAGUCAUUUAAAAAAAAUUAAAGACUUGGCCAAAACGACGUCGUUUUGGACCAAGUCUUUAAAAAAAAACAAAAUUCCUUCUUCUUCGCGAUCGUCUUCCUUGUGAAGACGCCACACACCUGCAACCCUAAACCCAGAUGGCAGAGCCUGAAAACAGAGCAUUCUACUUUGAUUUUGGGUCGCAGAUAGAUCUAGGAACGCUCGCCAACCGCCUUUAGGCGCGCCUCAGCCGCCUAGUCUCGCCUCGACCACGCCUCGGCAAGUUUUCGCCCACUCCCACUGGGCAGAGGCGUUAUCACUCCCGCCCCGCCUCCAAAGUCGUCUAGGCGCGCCUCGGGGCGCGUCUUUUAAAACAUUGGUAUGGAAAGAGGAAU